AUUGAACGCUGGCGGCAUGCCUUACACAUGCAAGUCGAACGGCAGCACGGGAGCAAUCCUGGUGGCGAGUGGCGAACGGGUGAGUAAUGUAUCGGAACGUACCUUUCAGUGGGGGAUAACGUAGCGAAAGUUACGCUAAUACCGCAUAUUCUGUGAGCAGGAAAGCAGGGGAUCGCAAGACCUUGCGCUGAUUGAGCGGCCGAUAUCAGAUUAGCUAGUUGGUGAGGUAAAGGCUCACCAAGGCGACGAUCUGUAGCGGGUCUGAGGGGAUGAUCCGCCACACUGGAACUGAGACACGGUCCAGACUCCUACGGGAGGCAGCAGUGGGGAAUUUUGGACAAUGGGCGCAAGCCUGAUCCAGCCAUGCCGCGUGAGUG
rnacentral:rRNA from 1 species